rnacentral:rRNA from 1 species
UACAGAGGGUACGAGCGUUGUUCGGAAUUACUGGGCGUAAAGCGCAUGUAGGCGGCAGCGCAAGUCGGGCGUGAAAUCCCACGGCUCAACCGUGGAAGUGCACUCGAAACUGCGCAGCUAGAGUCCUGGAGAGGAAGGUGGAAUGCUUGGUGUAGAGGUGAAAUUCGUAGAUAUCAAGCGGAACACCGGUGGCGAAGGCGGCCUUCUGGACAGUGACUGACGCUGAGAUGCGAAAGCGUGGGGAGCAAACAGG